GACGAACGCUGGCGGCGUGCUUAACACAUGCAAGUCGAACGGAAAGGCCCUGCUUUUGUGGGGUGCUCGAGUGGCGAACGGGUGAGUAACACGUGAGUAACCUGCCCUUGACUUUGGGAUAACUUUAGGAAACUGGGGCUAAUACCGGAUAGGAGCUUCUGCUGCAUGGUGGGGGUUGGAAAGUUUCGGCGGUGGGGGAUGGACUCGCGGCUUAUCAGCUUGUUGGUGGGGUAGUGGCUUACCAAGGCUUUGACGGGUAGCCGGCCUGAGAGCGUGAACGGCCACAUUGGGACUGAGAUACGGACCAGUCUUCUACGGGAGGCAGUAGUGGGGAAUAUUACACAAUGGGCGGAAGCCUGAUGCAGAAACGCCGCGUGCGUGAAGACCGGCUUUGAGUGGUAAACCGCUUUCGCCUUUGAAGAAGCGUGAGUGACGGUAAUGGGUAAAGAAGCACCGGCUAACUACGUG
rnacentral:rRNA from 1 species